AGCUCCAAUAGCGUAUAUUAAAGUUGCUGCAGUUAAAAAGCUCGUAGUUGCAUUUCCGAGGCAAGGGAUUAGUCCGACCUUUGGUGGGUAUUUAAUCCUCUUGCCUCGUCCUUGAGUGGUGCUUCUUGGUAUUAAGUUAUCGAGGAGAUAGCCGCUCAUCGUUUACUGUGAGAAAAUUAGAGUGUUCAAAGCAGGCUUAUGCCGUUGAAUAUAUUAGCAUGGAAUAAUAAGAUAGGACCUCGGUACUAGUUUGUUGGUUUGAGAACCAAGGUAAUGAUGAAUAGGGACAGUUGGGAGUAUUCGUAUUCAGUUGUCAGAGGUGAAAUUCUUAGAUUUACGGAAGACGAACUACUGCGAAAGCAUUUACCAAGGAUGUUUUCA
rnacentral:rRNA from 1 species